CUUAACCACCAAAAUUUGCUGAUCGCGUAGAUCCUGCACUUUCACAGAUUCAUUAGCAAUGUAGCAUCCACUCAUUUCAUUGGCCCAGAAAGGAAAACGAUGAAGCAAUUUACACCACAAGAUGAGCAAGACAUUUAUCAGUUGACUCCAGUAGCAUGAAGAAAUUUGUAGGUGUUGAAAGCUACCUGAGAACAUGGUAAAGUACAAAAGGCCACGUGAACUGGAAGAUGACUAAUAACCGUCACCUAGGUUCUUUUUUCUUAAGUAAGUAGUAAAUCUGCAAGUAGCUCAGCUCCCAAAAAAUUGGAUAAUCUUUCCUGAUUACAUAAAGAUAGUGUGUUUUUCUGUUAUAGGAAAUAUCAGACUAGGAUUAAUGUAAUUAGGACAGUUCUAAUCUCUUAAAAUCGCUGCCACCAAUAUAGGAAAAGAGAUUGUGGUGCAGGUCCAGAUUCAAAGUUAUGUAGAUUAUCAACUUGAAGCAUUACCAUCAUUUGUUUAAUUGAUCAUCAAGCUAUUAAGCUCAUUAACUUUCACCUAGUUUUCCUUCAAAGCCUCACUUCUCAUGAACUAAUGAUUAUGAAAAUACAUCAUUGAAGUUUCAAAUGAACUUGAUUUUCCCCUUCUCUACUUAUUAUUAUUAUUAUUAUUAUUAUUAAUUAUUAUUAUUAUUUUUUUUUUUCUUUUGUACAAAAAUGUUGGAUUUUGAUACCCAAUAAAUCUUGAACUAUGAUGUUAAACGUGGGACUAUUUCAUAGACCUCGACCAACGAGUAAAAUAAUUAUCAACAACCAAAUCCAAAGGCUCUAUCCGGCCCAUUUAUAUUACCUCUAGCUUUUAGUCUUAGCCCAUUUAGCCUUGUUAUUAGUCCAACUAAAAGCCUAACCUAACCCUAGUUAUAUGCGCUUGCCCUAGCCAUUUUUUAGUUUGUGAUUUGUGUGUUUGAGAGGAGAAAACAUGGCUGCCAUAGAACAGCAAAACAGGGUGCCUUUAUGGUGCCAAAACCGGUGACUUCCCUUUCACUUUGUGGUCUCUUCCUUGCCUCAUUUUGUGGCGUUUUCUUCUUGUCUUUGUAGCUACCAAUUAUUACCGUUAUCUUGUCAU
rnacentral:lncRNA from 1 species